rnacentral:ncRNA from 2 species
GCGACACUGCGCGCCUCGGGUGCCCCGUCGAGCGUCUUCGACGGGGUUAAAAGGGAACGCGGUACGGCCUUUGGCCCGAUCCGCGGCUGCCCCCGCAACUGUGAACGGUUGACUCUCCCAUGGUGCCACUAGGCCGCACGCGGCUCGGGAAGGCGGGAUGGUCUACGGCCGUGAGCCAGGAAACCUGCCCGAGAUAUCGGCCCCUC